UCUAAAACUUUAUCAUGGUGGGACUAACUUUGAUAGAACCGCUGGUGGACCAUACAUUGCCACUUCAUAUGAUUAUAAUGCUCCUCUUGAUGAAUAUGGCAACAAAGCUCAACCAAAAUGGGGUCACCUCAAAGAACUCCACAGGAUUUUGAAGUCAAUGGAAGAGAGUCUUACAAACCGGAACGUUUCCCAAAUUGAUUUUGGCAACUCUGUCACGGCCACUGUGUAUGCCUCAAACAAAUCAUCAAGUUACUUUUUGACCAAUGCCAACACUACCACCGAUGCUACUGUCUCGUUUAGAGGAAGAACCUAUGCAGUUCCAGCAUGAUCUGUUUAGCUUGGCUUGGCUUGGCAAAUAUACACGCCAAGAGAUUUUUUAUUCCAUAAGAUUUGACUACAUACUCUUUUAAUUAAAUAUUUAUUUGUGA